ACGAACGUUGGCGGCGUGGAUUAGGCAUGCAAGUCGAACGAGAACCGGUAGCAAUAUCGGGGAAAGUGGCGAAAGGGGCAGUAAGGCGUGGGUAACCUACCCUCUGGACCGGGAUAGCCACGGGAAACCGUGGGUAAUACCGGGAGACGUAGCGGGGACGCAUGUUCCGGCUACCAAACGGUCCGCCGCCGGGGGAGGGGCUCACGUGGUAUUAGCUUGUUGGCGGGGUAACGGCCCACCAAGGCCAAGAUGCCUAGCAGGUGUGAGAGCACGACCUGCGCCACUGGCACUGAGACACUGGCCAGACUCCUACGGGAGGCUGCAGUCGAGGAUCUUCGGCAAUGGGCGCAAGCCUGACCGAGCGACGCCGCGUGUGCGAUGAAGGCCUUCGGGUUGUAAAGCACUGUCGAGGGGGAGGAAGCCGCAAGGUUGACCUAUCCCUGGAGGAAGCACGGGCUAAGUUCGU
rnacentral:rRNA from 1 species